UUGUGAGCUAAGUUAAGACAUAUUCCAAGUUAAGACCUAUUUCAAUCAACUUAUUCAAGCAUGGGGCAUUACAAAAUAUUGAGAACUCAUAAUUCAAAACAUCAUGCCACAUGCAAAAUAUAUUAUGUGUUAAGUCAUGCAUAAAAAUACUAAGAACAAGCAUGUUAAGGAUCAAAAUCAAUUUUUUUUAAAUAAACUCCCCCUAUUUAAAUAUAAUCUUGCAUUGAUUUCAUCCUUAAAGUGUGUUUUCAAGUGAUAAAAAAAAUGACUUGAUUCUUCUUAUAUACUUUCAUUUAUUUGGUCUUUCAUUUUUUUUUACUUUCUUAUGCUCUAUACUCUAUUUGCUCCCUAUCCGGUGGAGUUGGAAGGGGCACGAGGUACUACCACUAGCCUCCCUCUUGUGCCGUCCCUAAUAUACCCUACACCGAAUAGUUGGGUCAAAUAGUGCCGGGUACUACCACUAGCCUCUCCAUUGGCACCAUCCCUAUGAUGAGCAAUAUAGAAAGGUUAAAAUGUUUACUUCAAACUCUUCCUGUUUAAGUGUAAUUAAUUAUGGAUUUUAUCCCUUCCAAAAGAAUGCUCACACAAGUCUCACAAAUGUGCCGAAUAUAUUAUGCUUGUUUUGCUUUUCCUUAAGAUUGAAGUAUUUGCCUUUACUUAGAUUUUACUUCUCUUGAAUAAUAUCCAUUUUCUUUUCUU
rnacentral:lncRNA from 1 species